CCGACCGGCGCACGGUGAGUAACGCGUAUGCAACUUACCUAUCAGAGGGGGAUAACCCGGCGAAAGUCGGACUAAUACCGCAUGAAGCAGGGGCCCCGCAUGGGGAUAUUUGCUAAAGAUUCAUCGCUGAUAGACAGGCAUGCGUUCCAUUAGGCAGUUGGCGGGGUAACGGCCCACCAAACCGACGAUGGAUAGGGGUUCUGAGAGGAAGGUCCCCCACAUUGGUACUGAGACACGGACCAA
rnacentral:rRNA from 1 species